UCUCGUUCGCUGUGGCAGAUAUCGGUCGGAGUUUUGGGGAGCUGGCGGCGCCGCCUAUCUCUGGCAGCAGACGGUGGUUUAAAGGAGGUGGCGGGAAGCCGGUGUUUGGUCGAAUUCGUCACCCUCAUGGUCGCCUGGAUAUCACCCUCACAGCCUAUUGGUAAAACAGUGCUGCAUGUUUUGCUUACCCUGAUAAGGGAGGAACACCUCGACAGAGCUUUGGCAGUGUCUCAUGGGGAUAACAGGCAAGAUCGGAAUUUUUUUUUAAAGAAUGGCAAGUUUGGUUUAAAGUGUAUUUUUCAAUUUGGGGGCUUGAUUAGGAUUGGGUAGAGAUCAUGAAAAGCAGUCCAGCACUGGUAGAAAUAGCUGAGCCAAGGGUUUGAGAGAAUCUAGUUGUACCGAUUGUUGAGGCUUCCCACUGAAGAGCUGAUCAGUCUUUUGGAGGGUUCCAUAAUGAACAAUCAAGCCAUUUGGACAAUGAAGAUACUAUUCUGAUUUCCUAGAAUAGUAGAGUCAUGCUGAUGUAAACAAUAAGUUGUGGGGGGAGGCAAGGGGACUUGAUAGUUCAGUCCUCAGUAUCCAACCUGUAUAUGCGGUGAAACAAUUUUGCACCUAUCACAUUUGCAAAAAUUAGAAUUUUGAGUAAUACCAAGUGAAGGCAAAAACAUGGAAAAGAAAUUCUGAUAUACUGCAAGUGGGAAGGUAAACCAGCCUAGCCGUACCCCCCAACCCCAGCCCUACUAUGUCUUGGAGAACAUUUUGGCAGUAUUUAGUGAAAUUAUGUAUGCAUAAAUUGUAUGGCCCAGCAACUACUGUCUGUGUAAAUACCCUUCAAGUCCUUGAGGAGAUGUAAUUGAAAAGUGUCCAUUACAUUAUUUCUGGGAGCAAAGUGCUGAAAAAGGAAACUGAGUGUCUGUCACAAGGAGAAUAGGCACAUCAAAUAUGGUGUAUUAAUGGAAUACUUUAGUCAGAGACAAUGAAGUAUAACACUGAAGUGUAAUAACAUGAAUCAAUUGCAAACAUGUAAAGAAAUAUGUAAACCAUUCAUGCACAAAACUAUAUUUCUUUCAAGACUAUACAGUUGACCCUUGAACAGUGUGGGGAUUAGGGGUGCCAAUCCACCAAGCAGUUGAACAUCCUUAUAUAAUUUAGAGUUGGCUCUCCAUAUAUGUGGUUCUACAUUCACGGCUUCAACCAACCGGGAUUAUGUUGUACUUUAGUAUUUACUCUUGAAAGAAAGCUGCAUUAUAAGUGGACCUGUGCAGUUCAGACCCAUGUUAUUCAAAGAUCAGCUGUAUAUCUAAAACCUGUUAAAGAUAAAAUUAAAGAUGAAUUAAAAAGGCAUGCAUUAAGACACUGCAGUCGGUUCCUGUGGGAGAUGAAAGAAUAAAAUAAGUAAGAGAGGACCUAGCAUGGAUCAAAAAUAGAGUGCCAUGAAAUAGGAAGUGUUAUCACUUCAAUUAUGAACAUGUAAGGUCCUUAAAAAAGAACAGAGUGGUUAAGAAAGGUCAGAUGAUGAAGGUCCUUGUAAGCCAUAUGAAAGAGUUUGAAAUUGAUGCUGAAGGCAUAGGGAUAUUAAAAUCCUGUUGCUCCACAGAGUCCUCUCCACAAGACAUAGAAAAGAAAGCAGUUUUAUUACUGAAUAAGCAUAUUCAGAUUAUAAUGCAUUGUAGGUAAUUUGUGAAUGAGAUUACAAAGACAGACAGAAAUUCUACCCUAUUUAUACAGCUAAGCCAUUAUAACCAUUCUGUUUUUAGCCAUUGCAUAAAUUUUCAAGAUUAACAGCAUCUUGAUGCGUAAAAAGAUUUGACUGCAUCACUUGCUUCAGAUUUUUUCAUAAGGUUCAACCUAAAUUUAUCUGAUAAUGGAGGUAGCCAUUUGUUUUAGCAAAUUACUUUGUCUGCAGGAAUAGUGAAACUUCUCCUAUUUCUGUGCUAAGUGUAUGCUUACAGCUCAGGAAAAGUUCCCUAGGUUUAACUCCCCAGUGACAGGGAGGUUGGAGUGCUAUUUUCCUAGAUGUUUACAUUUGAAAGGAAUGACUCCCAGACCCUGGAGAAAACGUCAGGGUUGUUGCUCAGCUUCCAAUGGGAUCUUUUUAAGAUGGCUGGGUUGGAAGGACAAGGGAGUUGAGGACAUUGGCAAGGGAGUUUUUGAAGUGAUGGAUCAUAGAGCCUGAAAUGGAUGAGGGGAAGAAGCAAAGUGGGAGAGACUGAGAGCUAGAGAGAGAGCAUCAGAGGGCUGAAAGUCUUGAAGAUUAAGGUAUAGUUAAGAGUCUGUGAAUGAGUGUUGGAAGAAUAGCAUAUGAGGUUGUGGUCAAAAAGUAGGAGCAGCAGGGGAGAGAAGAUACAGGUAUCAACAGCCAGGUGGUAAAAGAGUGCAGAUGAAGGUCACUGAAACUCAAGAAACUGAGUCCCCAGGGCAUUGGUUAAAUCAUCCAUCUAAGCUUGAAAAUUGUCCUGGAUGAUAACAGAAUUCAGAAGGCUGAGCCAUAGGCCAGAAUCCUCAGUAAAUGAGAGGUGAGGGAAAUGGACAAUGAGGGGGAAGAAGGAGAGAUUCUAUAACCUCUAUGCUGAUGGAAAGAACCUCAGAGAGGCAAUUGGUUUGUAUCCAGUUGUGGAUGAGUGCGGCUGGUAGUAGCAUCGGGUUUCAAUAAAACCCUUAUUUUUUGUUUUCUUCUUUGUUUUGUUUUUGUUUCUUUUGCCAUCUGCAGUGUGAUUUGUUCCUUUCAUCAAAUGAUUUUUUUAACACAAAUGAAAUUUUUUCUUUUUACAU